UACGAAGGGGGCUAGCGUUGUCCGGAAUCACUGGGCGUAAAGCGUGCGUAGGCGGUUUGUUAAGUCCGAAGUGAAAGACCAGGGCUCAACCCUGGGGGUGCUUUGGAAACUGGCAGACUUGAGUGCUGGAGAGGCAAGGGGAAUUCCACGUGUAGCGGUGAAAUGCGUAGAGAUGUGGAGGAACACCAGUGGCGAAGGCGCCUUGCUGGACAGUGACUGACGCUGAGGCACGAAAGCGUGGGGAGCAAACAGG
rnacentral:rRNA from 1 species